rnacentral:rRNA from 1 species
CGCGUCCGGGACGGGCCCACGUAGUAUUAGCUAGUUGGUGAGGUAACGGCUCACCAAGGCCAAGAUGCUUAGCAGGUGUGAGAGCACGACCUGCGCCACUGGCACUGGGACACUGGCCAGACUCCUACGGGAGGCUGCAGUCGAGGAUCUUCGGCAAUGGGCGCAAGCCUGACCGAGCGAUGCCGCGUGUGCGAUGAAGGCCUUCGGGUUGUAAAGCACUGUCGAGGGAGAGAAAAGCCCGCAAGGGUUUGAUCGAUCCCUGGAGGAAGCACGGGCUAAGUUCGUG